GGGUGCGAUCAUACCAGCACUAAUGCACCGUAUCCCAUCAGAACUCUAAAGUUAAACCUGCUUGGGCGAGAGUAGUACUAAGAGUGCUUGGGCGGGAGUAGUACUAAGAUGGGUGACUUCUUGGGAAGUCCUCGUGUUGCACCCC
rnacentral:rRNA from 1 species